CUCCAUUACAGCCUUUUUGUAUUCAUCAAGAGAUAACAGACCUUGCACAAAUGACCAAUACAUGGAUCUCAGCUAGUGAUGUCAACCCAGGUUAUGUUUAUUUUCCAUCAACGUAUUGGGAUUUCCUGUUAUAUUUUUAGUUUGAGAUUUCACAGACCAAAACAAGUUCUUUUAAUCAUCCACGCAAUGAUUGUUUAUUGUAAACAUUUAUUAAAAUUCAGAUGUGUAAACAAACAUAGAAAACAAAAUCAAACUUGUAAAAAAAAAUAAAGGUCAUACAAAUACUAAACACACAGGGAAAGUGCUUGUGGCAAAAACAAAAUAAAAGUGAAUUGCACAUAUUGUAUUAAAUUGAACACAAAUAACAGUAUCACACAUUUGCCUAAACAUUCUCCAUCCUCCUGCUUUAUUGUGAUCAUUUCUUACGUGAAAUAAAAAUCAUUGUCAGUCAAGUGCAUAAAAACAAA